GUCUUUUUGUUUUAUAUUUAAAGUCUAGCCUGCCCACUGAUAAAUUAAAUGGCCGCAGUAUUUUGACUGUGCUAAGGUAGCAUAAUCAUUAGUUUUUUAAUUGAAAGCUGGAAUGAAUGGUUUAAUGAAAAAAUGACUGUCUUUAUUUAAUUAUAUUAUAAAUUUAUUUUUAAGUUAAAAAGCUUAAAUUUUUUUAAAAGACGAGAAGACCCUAUAGAGUUUUAUUUUUUAAAUUUAUAUAAAUUUAUAGAAUUUAUAUUUAUUUAAGCUUUAAGAAUUUAAUUGGGGUGAUUAAAAAAUUUAAUUAACUUUUUUUUUAUUUUAAUAUUAUUAAAUAAUUAUAUGAUCCAAAAUUUUUUUUGAUUAAUAGUAAAAAUUACCUUAGGGAUAACAGCGUAAUUUUAUUUUAAAGUUCUAAUUAAAAAUAAAGAUUGCGA
rnacentral:rRNA from 1 species